rnacentral:miRNA from 1 species
UGUGUGUGUGUGUGUCUAUAUAUAUAUGUAUAUGUAUACACACACACACACACACACACACACACACACACAUACCC